rnacentral:lncRNA from 1 species
AAAGUUGGUUCGGAUCCAAUUCUGGGGCAUAUUGGUAGAUCAGGAUCUGGCUGCCCUAGAAGGUUCCAGACAUUCCCGUGACUGUGGGUGGGGCUGGACUGGGAGCCAGGACGCUGGGCCCGGCGGGAAGCCAGAUGUCCCUUUCCUGGCCCUUCUCUUCUCGGCUCACAGCUGCCCCCCGGUGGCUCCGCGGGACCUGCCGGCUGGGACAAGGGGCACAGCCGGAGGAAGCGGCCUCCCCUGCAGGUCCUGCUCAGGGUCGGGAGGGGGCAGUGCUGCCUGCAGUGGGCCAGAGCCACCUUCUGUGCCCUCACCUCCAGGCUCUGCAGUCCCAGGGAUUCGCAGUGUUAGUUGAUCUCCGGGGACACUAGUUCCCAAGAGACCCCACUGAAGGCCUGGCUGUACCAUCAUAGGCUGUGUGCCCUUGGGCAAGAACCUCUACCAUUCCUCGUUGCCUGUAUAUAAAUUGAAGGCUUUGCUCUAGAUGAAAGGCUUGGCACUGCAGCAGCCACCUUGUAUCCACGAGGCAGUAAACCUCAGCCGACAGCCACCUGCUUCAGAUGGCAGCCCAGGAAGGUGAAAAGAGACUGGGUUCUCGAUGGCAACUUCGAGUCACGACAGCCUUAGACUUCUGUGAUAUGAAAAAACAACCCUCAUAGUUGUUUAAGCCUCUGGUUUUCAGAUUUCUGUCACAGCUGAAGGGAAUCUCAAGCAGAUCCUUCCUCUGAGCAUCUGCUCUCUUCUCAAGGGGCCUUCCGGUCACAUGCUUUCCUUCAUUCCCAUUACAUUUCCGUCCAGGUUCUAAUGUCCUAGGGAUAUUGUAGCACGCCUCUGCCUGGCCUAACUUCAACCUCCCUCUGGAUGUGAGAGGCAGACCUCACUGUAGGAAGAGGGUGAAGGAAGGGUGUCGAAUAAUGCAUAAGGAACCAAGGACUAAUAUCCAUAUAUACAGACCCAAACAUCAGGUGACACUGAGCGUGUGCAUCCACAGCUUCUCACACCUGCCUUGUCUGGUAGACACCAGCUCUGGAUCCCCAGACCUCUCACCUGAGCUCUAGGGCAAACGCUUCCCGACAUCCCCCGUGGCGGGCAGCGAGGCCGGGAUGGUGUGGAGCUGCGCACUUCCAGCUUCUGGGAUGCAAGGCCCUGUCACCACUCGAUUUCCAGGUGUCUGCUUCACAGUGAUCUGUUAAACUGCCAUAUGUGUUUUAUGCACCUUCCUGGGUUGUGCUACAGCUGA